GUAUGCCACCAUACCAUCCUGAACAAACCUGAUUUCAUGUGAUCUUGGAAUCUAAGAAGGGCUGGGCCCAGUUGGUGCUUAGGAAGAAGACAACCAGAGAAUACCAAGGAUUUUCAAGAA
rnacentral:rRNA from 1 species